rnacentral:rRNA from 1 species
CCUACGGGUGCAGCAGUGGGGAAUCUUCCGCAAUGGACGAAAGUCUGACGGAGCAACGCCGCGUGAGUGAUGAAGGUCUUCGGAUUGUAAAGCUCUGUUAAUCGGGACGAAAGAGUUCUGUGUAAAUAAUGCAGAAAAGUGACGGUACCGGAAUAGAAAGCCACGGCUAACUACGUGCCAGCAGCCGCGGUAAUACGUAGGUGGCAAGCGUUGUCCGGAAUUAUUGGGCGUAAAGCGCGCGCAGGCGGCCUAUCCAGUCUGUCUUAAAAGUUCGGGGCUCAACCCCGUGAUGGGAUGGAAACUAGUAGGCUAGAGUAUCGGAGAGGAAAGCGGAAUUCCUAGUGUAGCGGCGAAAUGCGUAGAUAUUAGGAAGAACACCAGUGGCGAAGGCGGCUUUCUGGACGAAAACUGACGCUGAGGCGCGAAAGCCAGGGGAGCGAACGGGAUUAGAUACCCCAGUAGUC